UGUCUCAAAAAGGAUCCAUUAUGAAAGAAUUUUAUUCUCUUCUAGAUAUGUUAGAAACUCACUGGUGAGAUAUUCACCUCUUUAAUCAGAUCGAAAAAUUUUAAUACUCUUUUCAAUUUAUUUUUCAAUCUCAUUGUAGAAUCGUUUGAAUAUUUCAAAUGAUUCAGAUUUAUGUUUCAUAAGAUAGACAUAUUCAUAUCUCGAU
rnacentral:lncRNA from 1 species